rnacentral:lncRNA from 1 species
AGUCAUGCGGUGGGAGACACAGAGGGCUGCUCCGGGACAAGGACCUGCUGCACAGGACCCUGACACUUUUGAAGAGUAUUGGCCAGAUAUUUUGGGGACUGCCAUUCCCUCUGGGUUUGCCUGGUGUGUCCUCAUGAUUAGGCUGUAGGAAAGGCUUUCCCCUUCUGACACACGCAACGACGUGGAUGAAACUUGAGGAUAUUACGUUAAGUGAAAUAAGACAGUCACAAAAUGCAGGCAGGAAGACAUUUUCAAAUUCCAGAAAUGCUGACGGACCUCCAGCGUUUCCAUGUUCCUCCCCACCUGAAGAAUGUUAAGAUAAGCUUAAUGUGAUUAUAACGAGACUUAUAUGCCCAACAAGCAUAGUUUGGGAAAGAGAUUUGCUUUGAAUACUGUGAAAUAAGCUUUAAUCUGUCAGGUUUAAAAAAAAAAGUUCCUGUGAAUUAAUAAUGCAAACAGCACUGUGCUUUCUGAGUGCGACUAUAAAAGAAUUUAAUGACCUCCUA